rnacentral:lncRNA from 1 species
AAGACUCUUCUCAAAAGAAGUGUGCACAAGAAGGGCAUUAUGNAGAUUUUACCCUUUGNGCUUAUGAGAAAAGGGUGCAACAUGUUGAAUUUGGGGGUNCACAAGGAAAAGGCUGCANCACAUUGAAAAUAGNAGGUGCAUCUAGCAUUUUUGGAGAGCAGCAGCUCCACAUCUUCACGGACAACCUAGCACCACACGGUCCAGCAAUUUCCACACAAUGCAGCAANGUUGUGCAGCAAGUUUACGCUGGGAGCAGCACGCCUUGGGCAGCAACUUAGGAGGCUUUCAUUAUCCAGCUUGGAGNUGUNUGUANCAUGUCCAGCAAGGCCCANCAGAUGGCAACACAUCCAGAAUUGGUUGAUUCAAUUAAGGGCAAGGCUGCCACUUAUAAGAAAGGCACACGGGUUACAUAAAAAAAGAAGGGUGGUCUAGCGGUGAGAAGAAUCACGGCCUGGUGAUUAAAUCUUCAAUUUAUUUGGCUGGCUUUUCACUUCCUUGGCUGCAAUGGGAAGAAGAGGUGUAGGCUGACACGGC